AUUGAACGCUGGCGGCAGGCCUAACACAUGCAAGUCGAACGAGUGGCGGACGGGUGAGUAAUGUCUGGGAAACUGCCUGAUGGAGGGGGAUAACUACUGGAAACGGUAGCUACUACCGCCUACCAUCGGAUGUGCCCAGAUGGGAUUAGCUAGUAGGUGGGGGAAAGGCUCACCUAGGCGACGAUCCCUAGCUGGUCUGAGUGGAUGACCCGCCACACUGGAACGGAGACACGGUCCAGACUCCUACGGGAGGCAGCAGUGGGGAAUAUUGCACAAGGGGCGCAAGCGUGAUGCAGCCAGGGGGCGUGUAUGAAGAAGGCCUUCGGGUUGUAAAGUACGUUCAGCGGGGAGGCGUUACCCGCAGAAGAAGCACCGGCUAACUCCGUGCCAGCAGCCGCGGUAAUAC
rnacentral:rRNA from 1 species